rnacentral:tRNA from 1 species
GCGGAUGUGGCGGAAUGGCAGACGCGCUAGCUUCAGGUGCUAGUGUUCGCAAGGACGUGGGGGGUCAAGUCCCCCCAUCCGCACCA